GUGCAUUCCACCAUGCCUGACUGCAAAGUAUGUUUUGACCAUUUUGUAAUAAUUAGGUGGAUCACACCACGUGGGCUGAUUUGUAUUCUAUUUGACUGGUCUACAUGUCUGUUUUUACACUAGUGGUGGUAUUCUGCUUUUUACAGGUUUGUUGCUGUUGCUGUGGCUAAUAUAAUUUGCGAUUGGGUAUCAUGAGGCUUUCAACAUGGCUUUUUCUGCUAAGGAUCAGUUUUGUUAUUCUUAGUCUUGUGUGCUUUCAUAUGAGUUUUAGCAUUGUUUUUAUAGUGUUGUGAAGAAUGUCAUUGAGAUUUUGAUAAAGAUAGUAGCAAAUCUGUGGGUCGCUUUAGGUAACCUGGCCAUUCUAACAGCAUGAAUUCUGCCUGUCCAUGGUCAGGGGAGGCUUUUCCAUCUUUUAGUGUCUUCUUCUGUCUUUGAUGUCUUAGUGUUUUCUCUGUGGAGGUCUUUGAUCUCCUAUACUUAUUCAUAUACAUAUACAUAAACAAUUAUAAGUGGGUUUCUCCCUGAUAUUGUUCCUUUAUGGUUUUAAGUCUCCAAAACUAUCCAAAGUUUCCUACAAGAAUAUUUCCCCAUUAACUACCACACACCUUGCUUGUAAAUUCUUUCUUUCUUCCUUCCUUUCUUUGUUUCUUUGUUUCUUUCUUUUUUUUUUUGCCCUUGAGAUUUUCUUUUACAUAAGAAGGUCUAAGCCGGGUGCAUGCCUUUAAUCCCAGCACUUGGGAGGCAGAGGCAGGCGUAUUUCUGAGUUCAAGGCCAACCUGGUCUACACAGUGAGUUCCAGGACAGCCAAGGCUAUACAGAGAAACCCUGUCUCGAAAAAAAAAAAAAGAAGAAGAAGAAGAAGAAGGUCUGUGUGAUCAAUACUGAGUGGUGAAGAAUGACUUUCUUAUGUAGUAGUGAUGUGAGCUGACUUGCCCUGUGGGUCUUGCCCACAGGUAACCUUGCUGUUGAUAUAUUUAGUUAUGAAUGCAUCUUUGAGAUGAGGUGAUUCAUGUGCAGGCUCCUUUAAGGACAGAUCAAUGCCAAGCAUUAUAUCAGCACCUCUUCCUCCUCCCCUCCUUCCUCCUCCCUUUUCCCCCCUCUUCCUCCUCCUUCUGCUUUUGGGUAUGUGUGUGUUCCUAUGUAUAAGUGCAGGCAUUCAUAUGCCAAGGUUUAUGUGUGGCUGUCAGAAGACAACAUUGGCUAGUAGUAGUCCUCGCCUUCUGUCUUGUUUGAGACAAGGGUCUCUUGCAGUUCUUGGAUGCAGAUGUCAGGCUAUUAGGCCCACAAGCUUCUUCAGAAUCUCCUAUCUCACUAAAUGCAUAUGGGUUUUAGAUGCAUACUACUGUAUUUAGCUUUAUGUGGGUUGUGGGGUUCAGGCACUUUACCCACUUAGCCAUUCCCCUUGUCCUUUACCAUAAUUCAACAGCUCCUCUUGAAUGAAGGGGAGAUACACAGUGAACCAGACUUUC
rnacentral:lncRNA from 1 species